GUGUGUGGUAGUGGUGUUACCGGUAGGCAUUUUCUUGCCUUCGGGCGAACUGCAUUGGAGAAUAAGUGAACUUGUCGCUGGGAUCACAUUGUGCACAGUGAGUGCACUCAGGGAAACGCAGAGAAACUCGGGAAAGAGGGAUUGUCGCGUUGUGGUGCAAGCAAAGAGGACAUAGCGAACAGCGGAUUCCAUUGUCAACUGUUCAAGAACUUCUCUGGAACAUAGAUCAGCGGGAGGGUGCGAGUUUUCGUAUCGAGCCCCCCCCCCCCUACCUUGGAGGUCUGGCUACGCCACUGCCUUUGGGCAAGGCUGGAAUGGGGCCCAUGCUUUAGGUUGUGUACAAAGACGAUCUCGUGAGCCAGGACCUCAUCCACUGCUCGCCUGAUUGCCACCAUCGUCACUUCCAGAGAAAUUAUGAUGAAAUGCCCAACCUGUGCCCAACCAUUACCCGACGGAUCACACUUCCAGAUUUUGGUGGUGGGGUCUAAGGUACCGGAUCCACCACCACUGCAGCCAUCACCGGAGCCGGAGUGCAUAUGGAUUCACCUGAACACGGUGUCAUUACCGCCACCACCAACACCCAACAACUGAGCUCCUCAUCAAGUGCCGCACAUCGCUUCUAUACCUUCUUUUUCCUACUAUCGCCGGAACCGGAGUACAUAUGGAUCGGUCGCAACUCAGUGCCGUCAUCACCAACAGCUGAGCUCCUCAACAACUGUCACACAUGCG